rnacentral:rRNA from 1 species
UACGUAGGGUGCAAGCGUUAAUCGGAAUUACUGGGCGUAAAGCGUGCGCAGGCGGUUGUGCAAGACCGAUGUGAAAUCCCCGGGCUUAACCUGGGAAUGGCAUUGGUGACUGCACGGCUAGAGUGUGUCAGAGGGGGGUAGAAUUCCACGUGUAGCAGUGAAACGCGUAGAGAUGUGGAGGAAUACCGAUGGCGAAGGCAGCCCCCUGGGAUAACACUGACGCUCAUGCACGAAAGCGUGGGGAGCAAACUGG